rnacentral:tRNA from 3 species
GGGCCCGUGGUGUAGCCUGGCCGAACACGCCGCCCUGUCAAGGCGGAGAUCGCGGGUUCAAAUCCCGUCGGGCCCG